CAGUCCACACCACCCCAGAUUACUACCAGUCAUCCAUGACAUGGAUGGGUCCUUGGCACACAGACCUGUAAGCACCGAAAAAAGCAUGAAGCCAUGGUGUCGCUGUCUAUACCCUGAACCUGAAAAGGGGGUCUUGGAGUUUGGACAAUCAGCAGAUGAAGAUGCCACCAUAGGUCCAUGACAUGGUGGCGACCAGCUUCACACCAGGAUCGGACACUUCAAGAAGAAGAGGCAGGUUCCUCCGUCUCUUCUCACUACUGGACAUGGCGUUACCGGACUCUUCGCAGUCAGAUAUAUCAUCUGCUGCAUCAAAAGGCAGAUUCCGGGCUCAGGAUCUGAUAUCACAGUUUAACAGACUUUCUGCAGUCAGACCCGUUCACAGAACAACUUAAUAUUCUGCUGCAGCUUCCUCAUACUGAGCCAUGGAAUUGACAUAAAGAACGUAGUAAUGACAAUGCUUGAUGUUUCUAUAUACAUGGCAGCUGAUAAGACAGGGGUGGGAAGCAUUCUUGGAGAACCUGUAGCAGGACCUCAAAAUGUGUGAUCACCUUCAAAUUAAAUUCGUAGGACAACAUCCUGUGGCAGUAGUAGAGUGGCCAUGAACUGAGGUUGGGAACAUUAUUCUCGUGGGAAUCUGUCACGGUCCCUCAGGUGACUGAUGUUAGGAAAUCAAGGAGAUUGGCUGAGCGUGGAGGAAUCUAACAGCCUCCUUGA